rnacentral:rRNA from 1 species
GAUUUUUGACUAUACAAAGGUAUUGAAAUAAGAUUUUAAUUGAAUGCUAAGAGAAUGGAAAUACAGGGAAAAACUUUUUUUUAAAUUAAAAAUUGAAAUUUUUUUAAUUUGUGCAGAAACAAUUAUUAAUAUUAAGGACAAGAAGACCCUAUGAAUUUAUUAAAUUUUAUUUAAUAUGUAAUUACUAUUAGAAAAAUUUUGGCUGGGGCGGCUAAAAAAUAUUUUAAACUUUUUAAAAAUAAAAUGAUCCAUUAUUAAUGAUUAUAUGUUAAAUACUCUAGGGAUAACAGCGUUAUAUUUUUUGAUAGAUCAUAUUGACAAAAAAGUUUGCGACCUCGAUGUUGGAUUAGGAUACUUUUUUAAUGCAGAUAUUAAAAAAAGAAGUUUGGUCAACUUUUAAUUUCCUACUUGAUCUGAGUUCAGACCGGAAUCACUAGU